rnacentral:lncRNA from 1 species
GUAUGACAGCCAUCCACCAAGCUAUGUCCUUUCACUGCCUAGUUCAAGCUUAUCCCAUCAGAUCCAUUGAGGGCAACCACUCUUCAGGUCCAUAGGAUCUUCUCAAUUCCAUAUGCAUGAAAAUAUGGGCAUCCAUCAUCAGUUUACCAAGUCUGGAAGCUGCUUCCGUUGCAUAUAUCUGAUGAGUACCCCAAAGCUUCUAGCUCUGUGGAUGAUACAAGGGUUGCUUUCCUGAUUAGCCAAUGUUCUGAAAAAAGAACACAACCUAGACCAAGAAAAAAAAUACUCAAUUAACGAAAAGAGAACAUAGAAGGCACUAUCAGGAGAUGAGUGAACCAAGCUGCAACUCCCCACAACUCUCAGAAGCACAGAAGUUCAAUGCUUUAAACAAGAUUCUAGAGAUCCCUUCUCACCAUUCUAAAUAAAUGCCACUUUAAUCAGAAGGACAAAAGUAUUAAAAUCCUGGAAAGCAAAAGAAAAUAGCUAUUAGUUACUAGUUCAAAAAUUAUUUCAUAUUGGCAAUUCCUUAUACAGUUCAUAAUCGUAAUAAGUUCCAGAAAUGCACCUGAAGGAAGACUAGGCAGACAUCUGAGGGAGCAUUUGAUGAAAGUCUCCAUCUUAAAUACUACAGUUCUCCAUACUGCACUAAUGCCCAUUUCUGGAACAAUGAUACGUUGAUAAUGAGCUCAUCUAAAAUCCUUUUCAAUAUGUUGAGGGUGAAGUCUUGCAACUCCCACCAAAUCUCAGUAGCCCAGAAAUUCAAAGCUUUUAUACAAGAUCUUAGAGCUUCCCUUUCACCAUGAUUAAAAGAUGCCUCGUUCAUCAGAAAGACAAAACAUUUAAAAAUCUGGAAAAGCAAAAGAAAACAGCUUUGAGUUACCAGUUAAAAAAAUACUUCACAUUAGCAAUUCCAUAUAUAGUUCAUGACCGUAUUAGGUUUCACAAACGCACCUAAUCUUGUCUUUUAAGAGAGUAGAGGUGUAGGUUAAUAUAAACAAUGAGUUGAAGAAGAUAGGGAAUUUUUGCUUUAUUAGACAUAAAUUUUUGCAUAAGCUGUGGAUAAUUCCUCAUUAAAGCAAUGGUUAUAUAAUACAUAGAACUUUCAAACACGUCCUGGCGAACAUUCAAAGAAUUCAGUAUCCCGGAGUAGUAUGGCGGAACAACACCAACAUAAUUUCCCAUUGACAAAGAACACAUAAAAAGGGACCUUACCAAAUUACCUCAAACAUCAUGUUCAAUAGUCUAGCCAUUGGAGCUUUCGGAUCCUUCUCAUAGUGUUCCACCCAAUUCUUGGUCUUUUCUCAAACAAAAGCGACUAGCUAGAAGCUCCUUUUCUAGGAUAGUAAGUUUAGCACUCCAUGGUGAUGAUGCAACGAAGUCCUUCUCCCUUCAACAUUAAUUAAAAAAGCCUUGUCGAUUUCAUAGUAUGGGAAGUGUAUGAGUGAUGAAUUUCUCCAAUUCAAGUUCCUUAUUCAUGUAUUUCUCAACAAAAGAAGGAAUAUCCGAACGAGGUGUCCAGUUUCCAAAGAAGGUUACUUUGAUAGUACUUUCAUUAAAAAGUUCAAAGGUGUGUCUUGAACACAGCUUCCUUAUGGGGUUACAUACCAAAAAGGACAGCCACUACCACACCUGAAAAUUAAUAACGACAAUGUUCGUUAAGAUAAUUAUAUAAAUAAUAAUAUACAAUUAAGGAAAUUUGAUGACAGAAAACAUACAUCAUGGACAAUUCAAAUGCUGAAAUCAUAACAUCAAUAUGGCCAGUACACUUCACACUCGGAUCAUAUUUGCAAUCAGUCAUCUCAGCAAUUACCUAAUCAAAUAAUCAAAAUUCAAGAAAAGAUGAUCAACUAUGACUCACACCUCUCUUUUUCUUCUUUCGCAAAAUGAUCCAUUAGGAGAAGUAGAUAUUAGUACCUCUUGACCUAGUUUACUUUUAAUCCUUCGGGUUCACAAACUUUGUCACACAAAAUUUCUUAGCUGUAAAAUAGAAGUAAAAUGGAUGAAUUAGUUGCUUUGCUAUAUAAGAUAAUGGAUCGAGAAUGUGUAAGGCACAAGUUAAUUACCUUACUGAAAUCAGCUAGCAUUUAAAUCGACAAAAAUUAUCCUUGAAGCACUAGCAAUUUUUGCUCCGUCUGCAGCCUGACCAAUAUAGAUUAGAUCAUUAUUAGUAAGACUAACAUAUAUAUGGAUUAAAAAACUAAACAGAACAAGAAGGUUAUUUUCAAUAUGAAGAAUACUCACAAUAAGGCCAACAGCUCCUAGUCAAAAAAUAGCCACACUUGAAUCUUUUGUGGGUUUAACAACAUUCAAAGGUGCUCCAAGACUUUCAAAAACAUCUACAAAUAAAGGAAUGAACAUCCUAUCAUCAGCAUGUGUAAAUCAUCAAAAUAGAUAUAUACAAAAAGGAUUCAACAGUGAAAAUCUAAUUAGAAUCGAGUAAAGAGGAAUUCAAGCAAGCACGCACAACAAAACAAAACUAAACUGACUAGUAUAGCUUCUGAUGGAUGGUUCAUUCCUUGAAUAGGAUGUGAGUCACCUUCAAUGAGCAGGAUUAUUUGAAAUGACUUUAUUUGGGACUGGGAAGGCACAACUGAAGUGACUUUUCAAAGAGGAUUGAGUAUUUCUUAUGGAAUAAUCACUCGUAGGGAAGAGACAUCAAAUGGAAAGGUCAAGCUAGCUGAUUUGACCAUUCCACUAUAUUGAUUUAAUUUAGAUCUUGAAAAAAUUAGAAUGAUGAACGAUUCGCAUGUGAAGGACCGAUCUCUUUGCACCAAUACUUUAAUACUAUUGCAAGACUGGUAGUAGAGCAUGGUUGAGACCAAUGUGAAAAUAUAAAUGCCAGAUCCAGUCUUUGGAAAUGGAAGACCCCAGGCCUCAUUGAACAAAUACACAAAAGAAACCUAUUGAAAAUGCUCCUAAUCCGAACACUUCCUUCGUAGAGCCCAUGUAGCAAUAUACUUAAGCAAUUCUUCUUAUCCUAAUUUAUUCUUAGUUGAAGUUCCUAUAUUCUCUUAAUUGAAAAGAGAAUACACCUAACCUGGGGAACUGCAUCAGCAGCUAAUAAGUAAGCUACAAAAAUAUAUUAUAAAGAGAGCAAUAAAAUGGUACAAUCCUCAACUUAAAAAAAAUUCACUAAGGCUGAAACAGAAGAAAGACUUUAGGAUAUCUGAUGGUCUUCUUCCACACAAAUCCCAAUAAAAAUAAAUGUAACCAAAUGUGAAGUGUAGCAUGCUGCUUCCGUUCUAUUUCAAUCUCUUUUUAGGAAAAUCAAGAAACGGACUAUAGAUGAAUGUUUCAAACAACUGUACAUAAACUCUUUAUUAAAAAAUGAAUGUUUCAUCUAACUCUAUCCAUGACUUACUAUUAAAAUUGAGGAAAGAAAUCAAGAAAAAGGACUCUUAAUCAAACAAAAACAACAUCCAGGCUAUCUCAUCUUUUCACCACAGAGCUUUAAAUAUGACAUCAGAAAAACAUACACAACUCCAUCAAUAGAUACUAAUUUACCAGCAAGUGAGCUUAAGGACAAUAGAGCAUACCUUCACCUUUUGGUGAGUGUCUUUAAUAGUUCUUUUACAGUUUCAUCAGCAUCCUUCUUCCUCCAAUGGUAACCAUUUUAUGCGAAGUUAAAGUGCUAGGCCUGCCCGAGAUUGAUCUCUUCCGAGGGAGCAUGUCAACUUAGCUGACUGGACAAUGAAUUUGCAGGAGAAAAGACAACUGGAACAUAUCAUAUAUCCCGACAUUCUGGGCGAAGUAAGACCAGAUUCCUUCAGCAACUUUGGCGAAACGCAGUAAAAUACUUAGCUGAAUCUGGUGCACAUUCAAUCUAUGGGUGAGGUGCUAAGGAAUUUGGAGAAUACACUUCAUCUCCAAGAGCCCGUCAUUCAAGAAAACAGUACCAUCCCUAUUGGCGAGCUAUCACUGCAAACGUGCAGAUGCGUGUGAAGAAGAAGAAAUCCAAUAACCUAAACAGUAAGCGAAAGAAGUGGAGUGUUGGCAAAACUACAGAAAAAAAAGAAUUUUUCAAACUACAGUAUACGCACCUAUCAUCAAAACUUCUGGAGUUCGCGAAAGUCUCUGCGAGAUCUUUCUUUUUUGUUAUGAUAACCGAGAAAUCCUCCUGUGACCCGCUCUUUGGACCUAUCAUAGCCUUCUAAACUCAGUGGAUAAUAGGCCCGCCCUCUACCCCUCUCCACUUAAAUUCCGGGCUUUACUUUGCAUGGUGUGGGGCUCAAACCUGCGACACCACCUUCUUCCACUAGAGCUAAGCCUUGGAGGCAGUCUGUGCAAGAUUAUUAUGCAAGCUUUCAAUGGAAAUUUACUUCGAUAAUUAUAGAUCAUCCAACAUUUUCAAGUUUACAAGCAGUGAAUAUUCAAACAUCACCUCCUGCAACAAGAAAGAUUGCACAUUAACAAAAAUGCAUCAGUACAACACGUCCCCUUCAAUUUAUUAAGGUGCUACAUCAACUUCUUUUAUUUCAGAUUUAUGUUUGAGAGGCUGAGCUAGGAGAGGCUGGAGCAGACAAAUGUUUAAAUGACAUUAACAGGCUAAACUAAGAUUGAGGGUGGAGAGAUACACAUAACUUUACAUUAAAAGUGAUGCAAUAGCUCUGAAAAUCACUGAACAUUAUUCAAAUUAUUUAACAGAUUCUGUCAUAAAAUAAAAAAAUAUAUACUACAUAUGCUCUCUAUUUGAGUUAAUAAAAACAAAAGGAGAUUCAAUGCAGGCUAUCAUGCAAUAAAUCAGUUUGAGUCUUGCUCUACCUCCUCAUAUUAAAUGUUCUAAAUUGAGUUCUCAUGGGGAUGGCCUAGUGAUUGUGGCAAGGAACUUUGAGGUGCUUUUGAACAGAGUGCAUCACUCACAAUGAGGUCCAACUACUACUGCUAUUGCUGAUGUUAAUGCUCUAUUUGUUUUCAAAAGUGAAAGAAAGGAAAGGACUAGAAGAGGCCUGUUAGUUUUGGUAAUGGAGAAAUAAAGCAAGAGGCUCAGAUUAUGUCAUGGGGCUUUCAGUUCUUUUUGCCAAGCCAUAGCUACAAAUAUUCAGAAAUUCAGAUCGCCCCGACAAGAUACCAGCUAGAAAACAUUAAUCUCUUCCAACCAAACUUGAGCCAUUGGAAGACUAGGCUCACUAAAAGUCUAAGGGAGAUACUACUCUAACCAAAAUUACAUACUAUUUUCAUGUUGAAAUGUAAUGUCCACUCUACUCAGAUGACAAAUCAUUUGCAGCAUAUCCUCAUUGAAGACUGUGACAGACUGAAACUUGUAGAUCGAAUUUAGGAUUAAAAGGGUAUUUGCUUGUAUUGGUGGGAAAAUUUUUGACAUCCCUGCAUCAUGUGUUCCACGUUUUUUAAAGUACGUUAUUUCUCUGAGGUUUUAUCAUCUAGAACGUUUACAUCUAAGCACAAAUAGUAUUUUAAAACAUAAGUGGAAGUAGUAGAGUAGUUCUCAUAAGUUAGAACACACUAAUUGAUUAAUCACAAGAAUUGUGACAAAAAUAGAUCUUUUUAUUAAAUGAAUUAAAGAAGUGUUACCCGUAUGACAGCCAUCCACCAAGCUAUGUCCUUUCACUGCCUAGUUCAAGCUUAUUCCAUCAGAUCCACUGAGGGCAACCACUCUUCAGGUCCAUAGGAUCUUCUCAAUUCCAUAUGCAUGAAAAUAAGGGCAUCCAUCAUCAGUUUACCAAGUCUGGAAGCUGCUUCCGUUGCAUAUAUCUGAUGAGUACCCCAAAGCUUCUAGCUAUGUGGAUGAUACAAGGGUUGCUUUCCUGAUUAGCC